rnacentral:rRNA from 1 species
ACUCCUACGGGAGGCAGCAGUGGGGAAUAUUGCACAAUGGGCGCAAGCCUGAUGCAGCCAUUCCGCGUGUAUGAAGAAGGCCAUUCGGGCUUGGUUAAAGAUACUUUCAGCAGUGAGGAAGGUGGGUAUGUUAAUAGCAUACUCAUUUGACGUUAGCUGCAGAAGAAGCACCGGCUAACUCCGUGCCAGCAGCCGCGGUAAUACGGAGGGUGCGAGCGUUAAUCGGAAUUACUGGGCGUAAAGCGCAUGCAGGUGGUUUGUUAAGUCAGAUGUGAAAGCCCGGGGCUCAACCUCGGAAUUGCAUUUGAAACUGGCAAACUAGAGUACUGUAGAGGGGGGUAGAAUUUCAGGUGUAGCGGUGAAAUGCGUAGAGAUCUGAAGGAAUACCGGUGGCGAAGGCGGCCCCCUGGACAGAUACUGACACUCAGAUGCGAAAGCGUGGGGAGCAAACAGGAUUAGAUACCCUGGUAGGAUAGCGU